rnacentral:rRNA from 1 species
CAAUAGCGUAUAUUAAAGUUGUUGCAGUUAAAAAGCUCGUAGUUGAAUUUUGGGCCCGAAUGGGCGGUCCGCUUCACGGCGUGUACUGUCCGGCUGGGCCUUUCCUCUUGGUGAUCUGUCGUACUUGUGCGGCAGUGGAACCAGGACUUUUACUUUGAAGAAAUUAGAGUGUUCAAAGCAGGCUAGACGCCCGAAUAUAUUAGCAUGGAAUAAUAAAAUAGGGCGUGCGGUUCUAUUUUGUUGGUUUUUGGAAUCGCCGUAAUGAUUAAUAGGGACGGUCGGGGGCAUUAGUACUCACAUGCUAGAGGUGAAAUUCUUGGAUUUUGUGAAGACUAACUUCUGCGAAAGCAUUUGCCAAGGACGUUUUCAUUAA